rnacentral:lncRNA from 1 species
AGCCACAGCGCGCGGCGAAUGGCAGGUGAAAUCGCGCGUCGAAUUACGCAAUUACGAAGUAGGAAAUACGAAUUACGCAAAUAAAAAGUUUGUGGUCGCAUGAAGAGAAAAAAAAAGAAAAAUGGCGAAUGGCAGGUGAAAUCGCGCGUCGAAUUACGCAAUUACGAAGUAGGAAAUACGAAUUACGCAAAUAAAAAGUUUGUGGUCGCAUGAAGAGAAAAAAAAAGAAAAAAAAAUUGCGCGAAUAUCGCAGCGUGGGUCGAACCGACGACUUGGUGGACAGACAGACGGACAGACGGACAGACGGACGGACGGCGAAUCGGCCUAAGGCCUCCGCUAGACUACUACGUAGUCGCUACGGCUACAGACAGAAAGUUGGGGUAAGGUCUCCGUCCCGACGACGGAACGACUAAACGUCGUCCGUCUAACGUCGGGACUACGACUACGGAACGACUAAACGUCGUCCGUCUAACGUCGGGACUACGACUAUGAACUAGUUUGCGCCCAACUACGCAACUAGGCAACGACACAUCGACGCAACGACACAUCGACGCAACGACACAAGUACCCAACUACGCAGUUAUGCAACGACACAAGUGCGCAACUAUGCAACUUCCCAACUUCCAACUACACAACUACCCAACUACCCAUCAACAUAACUAACCAACUAUGCAAGUAGCCAACUACUACCCAACUAGCCAACAACAGACUAUGCAAUAUGCAGCUACCCAACUGUACAACUACCCAACUCCUUAUUUACGCAACUGCGCAACUAACCAACUAUGCAAAUACACAACUACCCAACUACGCAAGUGUGCAACUACACAAUUAUGCAAUUACACAAUUAUGCAACUACCCAACUGCCCAACUACCCAACUACCCAACUAUAUGAGUACACAACUAUCCAACUAUGUGAGUACGUACACAAAGUGUGUACACAACUUUGAAAUACACUUGCAACAACGUUUGUGGUUAUCUUGGUAUGUGUAGAAGUAUCCUUUCAUAUCACAUCGAUGUGCGUCACAUCCUGGCAGACCUAGCUGGACAUAUGCGGCCCAGUUGCAUCUGGCCGAGCAAUAUCCAACGAAUUGUGGGUGAACAGCCAGUGNNN